rnacentral:rRNA from 1 species
UACGGAGGGGGCUAGCGUUAUUCGGAAUUACUGGGCGUAAAGCGCACGUAGGCGGAUCUGCAAGUCAGAGGUGAAAUCCCAGGGCUCAACCUUGGAACUGCCUUUGAAACUGCGGGUCUUGAGUUCGAGAGAGGUGAGUGGAAUUCCGAGUGUAGAGGUGAAAUUCGUAGAUAUUCGGAAGAACACCAGUGGCGAAGGCGGCUAACUGGACCAUUCUUGACGCUGAGGAACGAAAGCGUGGGGAUCGAACAGG